CCAUGCCUACGGGGCGCAGCAGUGGGGAAUAUUGCGCAAUGGGGGCAACCCUGACGCAGCAACGCCGCGUGCAGGAAGAAGGUCUUCGGAUUGUAAACUGUUGUCGCAAGGGAAGAAGACAGUGACGGUACCUUGUGAGAAAGUCACGGCUAACUACGUGCCAGCAGCCGCGGUAAUACGUAGGUGACAAGCGUUAUCCGGAUUUAUUGGGUGUAAAGGGCGUGUAGGCGGGAAUGCAAGUCAGAUGUGAAAACUAUG
rnacentral:rRNA from 1 species